rnacentral:tRNA from 1 species
GGAGUUGUGGCUCAGUGGUAGAGUGCUUGCCUGGCACGCGUGAGGCCCUGGGUUUGAUCCUCAGUGCCA